UCGCGCAACUCCUGUUGGCGUGACAGUAUUGUCUUGUCGCGUCAUCGAGAGUGGCGUGACAAGACCAAACUUUUAAAAAAUCAUAACUCUUCGAUAUGACAUCAGAUGAAAAUGUUACUUGUAUGAAAAUUGUAGAAACCCAAUAUUUUUCUGGGACAUGUGAUGCAAAAUAUUUUUCUGGGAUGAUUAAUAUUAAAAUAUUUAUUAAAAAAGAUUAAGUAUAAAAGAAUCCAAGAAGACGACGGUGCUCCACCCGGCGUCCCGGCCUGCUAGAUUCGGCCUUUCUUCAGCCCAUCAGACAGGAGCCCAAUAUUCGGCCUAGGUUGAACAAAGCCCAAAACCCAUCACAUGGUCCCCAAAAGCCCAAAAAGGCCCAUGAAAAGCCUAUCCCAGCUCCCACCACCACCCCACCUAGGGUUUCUCCCUUUUAACCUCGCGCCGCCACCCCCUUCAUCUCUCGACGCCCAUCUCCUCCUCCAGCCGUCGCCGCCGCCGCCGAAGGAGAAGAGGAUCCGGCCGUCUAUUCGCCCCAAUGGUACCGCCCCCAUUCCAUCCUCGUGCUCCCAUUCUCAUUUACCCAUCUUCCUCUUCGUCUUCCUCUUGCUGCCUGUGAUAUGUGAGGCUAACUCGCUUGGCGUCCCGCAGGCGUCCGAGAAGAAGCAGUCAAACCCGAUGCGGGAGAUCAAGGUGCAGAAGCUCGUCCUCAACAUCUCCGUCGGGGAGAGCGGCGACCGCCUCACCCGCGCCGCCAAGGUGCUCGAGCAGCUCAGUGGCCAGACCCCUGUCUUCUCCAAGGGUAAGUGUGCUGAGGUCUUCCGGCUCCGUUUCUUUGCCUUUCGCUGACGCGGUGCGUCCUUUUUACCUGAUGUGUUGGUCGGUCUUGCAGCGAGGUACACGGUGCGGUCGUUCGGCAUCCGGCGUAACGAGAAGAUCGCCUGCUACGUCACUGUCAGGGGCGAGAAGGCUAUGCAGCUGCUUGAGAGCGGCCUCAAGGUUAAGGAGUACGAGCUGCUCAGGAGGAACUUCAGCGACACCGGGUGCUUCGGAUUCGGCAUCCAGGAGCACAUCGACCUUGGUAUCAAGUAUGGCUCCGUCUUACUUUACGAGAAUCUUUGCUAUGAUUCAGGCCAAAUGUUGUGCCAGUGCAUACAUUCUUACUUUUGCGAUGUCAACUGGUUCCGAGGUUAUGGGUUGCUGUUGUUGUUAGAAGCUUCAAAAUUUCGGUCCUCUAUUUCCAUGUGGUGAGGCUACCAGUGAUAAAUCCGAUGCUAGUAAAUCCUUGGCUUGUUUUCUACUAUCUUUGUCCAUUAGCUCCAAGCCCAGUAAUUGUUUCUGACAAGGUUCAGCUAGGCGCUCUCUAGGCAAUGACCCCUAGCCUAGCGCCUAGGUGGGAUUAAUCGCGUCUAGGCGCUUCUAGGCGUUUUGCUAGGCGUUAUAUAUAUAUAUAUAUAUAUAUAUAUAUAUAUAUAUAUACUGAUAAGAGAAAAAAAACAGCUGAAUAGUGAGUCCAAAUAUAUAGAAAGGCUAGCCUAAAUAGGUAAAAAGGCCCAACAGGCAAGGGUCCAGCCCAUCUUCCACAGACUACAAACCCUAAACCCUAUCCCCCUCACCCUCACGCGCCGCACCUGCUCCCUCACGCCGCACCCGACCCCCGCGCAUCCGCCUGCAUCAGCCGCCGCCCGCCGCCGGUUCCUCUCUAUCUCCGGCAUCUCCCCCUCCUCUGUGCGCCCGCCGCCAGCCGCGCUCGCCCGCGCUCGCCGCCGUCCGCCACCAGCAUGCCAGAGCAUGCUCCGCCAGACGCUGCGCCACCUCCACCGGCGCCGCCACGGAGCUGCCGCCGCCUUGGGGUCCACCUACCCCCAUAGGCGAGGCGAGCACCCUCCGACUACCGCCUAGUUGCGCUGAAUCGCGCCUAGGCGAGCGCCUAGCGGAACUAUGGUUUCUGAACAUGACUGAUGCUUUAGUUCACUAUGAGCAUGUUUUUAAAGUUGAUUAAAACUUUGUUCUAGGUGUUUGUUUAAGACUGAGGUCCAGAAAUCACAAAUCAUUCUGCAUUUAUUGCACAGUUAAUUGUCAUACAAGUGGAUAAUAUUUUUCUUCUGUCAUUGCGAUGCUAGUUCAGUGGAAGUUUACAGUUUAGUCUGUAACAUUGUGUGCAUUGUUGGUACAAUGCAGUUCUUGAAUUUUGUCAUCUGUGCAGAGUUUAUCUGGUCUUCUAUAUUUACAUUUAGUGUUUGUUCCUACUGUUAAGACUGAAACGUGCUCCGUGUAUAUAUAAUUUAAAUUGUCUGUUUACCCUGAUGUUUCUGUUUUUGUCUGAUGAGCCUUGUUGCUAGUAUUUGAGGCAUUGGUUCUUUAUUCCUUAUGCGGUAAAGAAUGUACUAAUAGCCAUGUAAUGACCUGAAAUAUAUGUGUCAGCUGUGCAUUGCUAACAUGAAUUAAGCUAUACUGCUAUACCUUUAAAUUUUUAAUAAGCCACACAGCAAUGCAAAUUUUAAUUCUGUCGGCGAGGCACAUAGUUUUUCAAUAUGCUCUGUUUUUAGUUUUAUAUAUUCUCUCCAGAGGCACUGAGCCAUGUCUUUGUAUUGUGCAGGUAUGAUCCAUCAACAGGCAUCUAUGGAAUGGACUUCUAUGUCGUGCUCGAGCGUGCUGGCUACCGUGUUGCGCGCCGCAGGAGGUGCAAGGCCCGUGUUGGGAUCCAGCACAGGGUGACCAAGGAGGACUCGAUGAAGUGGUUCCAGGUCAAGUACGAAGGUGUCAUCCUCAACAAGGCUCAGGCCAACACGGUGUAAACUUUAGUUUGUCUAAGCUCCGUGCAGACGCAAGAUCACCUUGCAAGGUUUUUGUUCACAUUGUAUUCUCUGGCCUGAUGUUUUAGUCUACUAUAGCAGAGCUAUAAAACGCCGUAUGAAUUAUUUCAGUGCCCGUAUCAUACUCUGUUCUGUUGCUUGAAAACAUGCUAGUCUGAUCUCCCAGCGCAGCUUGUGAUCUGGCUCUUCUUUGGUUACAUUGCUUUAUUUAUCUGCCACACCUGUGUUUGAGUUUUUGUUGGUGAAUUACUGUCACCCGAUCUGGAAAACUGAAGCGAACUGAGGGGAAGGUUUCUAGGCCUUGUUUAGUUCCGAAAAAUUUUGGGAAAUGGACACUGUAGCAUUUUCGUUUGUAUUUGACAAAUAUUGUCUAAUUAUGGACUAACUGGCUCAAAAGAUUCGUCUCGUCAAUUUCGACCAAACUGUACAAUUAGUUUUUAUUUUCGUCUAUAUUUAAUACUCCAUGCAUGCGUCUAAAAAUUCGAUGUGACGGAGAAUGUGAAAAAUUUUGCAAAAUUUUCUGGGAAGUAAACAAGGCCCUAAUGUUUUUAUUUGGGUAUCAGCGCAGUACGAACAUUUGUGUACUGAUUGUUGUCUCUACAGAAUUUCUUCAAAAGGGUGGUAAAAUUCCAUGGGUGAAUGCAAGUGUCUACUGUCAUCAAGCCAUCAGGGACAGGGAGUACGAAAUAAGGGCUUGUGUUAUCCUAAAAUUUAUACGAUGAUAUAUUCUUUUAACAUAGGGGGUGAGACAUUCCUAAACAGCAGACAGUUCAUCCGUAAUGCGAAUGUAACCCAACUCGUUACCCAUACCCAUAACCUGAUACACCUGUCGCCCUCCACGGGAGCUUCGUCCGCUGCGUCGCGCGCCACUCGCCGGCGACCACCGACCUGUCCCGGCUCGUCCACGCACCGACGGCGGCGUCCUGCCCUUCCCUGCUCAACGCCACCAUCCAGAACCUCCGCUUCGCCUCCCCACGAACUCCGCGGCCGGUGCUGCUCCUGACUCCGGCGAUCGUCGCCGAGGCGAGGGCUUGCGUCGCCUGCUGCCGGUGCCACGGCCUCACGGUCCACGCCUCCAGCGGCGGCCACGACUACGAAGGCCUCUCCUACCGCUCGGUCCUCCGGAGCGCUGGCGCCGCCCGCCCCUUCGCCGUGGUCGACGUCGGCGUGUUGCGCGAUGUCCGCGUCGACGCCGCGCUCCGCGUGGCGACGGUCGGGCCGGGCGCCACACUCAGGGAGCUCUACAACGCCGUGGCGCGUGACAGCGGUGGGUUCGACCCCGGGCUGGGCGCAGACAACGUGGUGGACGCCGAUGGGAGGCUCCUGGACCGCGCGGCCAUGGGCGAGGGCCACUGCUGGGCGAUCCGCGGCGGUGGGGGCGAGAGCUUUGGCGUGGUGGUUGUUAGAAUCGACGUAUGGAAAUAUGAAGUAAACGAAAUCAAUCACAGCGGAGACACACGAUUUACGUGGAAAACCGCUCCAAUGGGAAGGGAAAAAACCACGGGCGCCAGUCUUCUCACUAUUUUCAAGUGUCGGGUUACAAGUUACAACACCAUGCGGUGGCUUACAAGAGAAUGAAAUAUAUUGUCAUUCUGAGCAAAUGACUAUUCAUAGCCUAUGCAUGCCAUCCAACAAUAUUACUCCAUGGCUGUGCGCAAGGAGUGUGACGAAGAUCACACAUCUCUCUUGAAGACCAUGACCUUGCGAAUGUUAUGCAACCACAUUUCUUUUGCCAACCAUAGCCAUACAAUGUGCAUGCAAUUCCUUCACGCACAUAUGCUAUUCAUAGAGAAAGCAUCACGUUGAAUUUGGAACACUUCAACAAACUCCACCUUGAGACAAAUUCAUCUUGUAUCAUAAAUCAACACCUUCAUCUUGAACAUAACAGAGAAAAAUAUUGCUGGCGCCAAAUAGCCUCUUAGGCUAAUCCACUAAACCAACUAAGCUUGAGCACAGCUCAAACUUAGCAACAGGGACAUGUUUAGUCAUCAUAUCAGCAGGAUUAUCAUGAGUACUGAUCUUACAUACCUUCAGCUUACCUUCUUCAAUCACAUCACGCACAAAAUGAUAUUUGAUAUCUAUGUGCUUAGUUCUCUCAUGGAACAUCUUAUCUUUAGUGAGGUAAGUUGCACUUUGACUAUCACAAUGCAAACUUAUGCAAGAUUCAACUCCACACAGCUCAGCGUACAAACCUUUUAGCCAAAUUAAUUCUUUGCACGCUUCACAAAUAGCCAUAUAUUCUGCUUCAGUAGUAGACAAAGCAACAACAGACUGUAAAGUAGCCCUCCAACUCACAGCACAACUGCCAACAGUAAACACAUAACCUGUAAGUGAUCUUCGCCUGUCCAGAUCAGCAGCAUAAUCUGAAUCCACAUAACCAAUGAGACCCUUAUCAGUUCUUCCAAACUUCAAACUGGAAUAUGCUGUGCCUCGGAGGUACCUGAAAAUCCACUGAACUGCCCUCCAAUGUUCUUUACCGGGAUUAGACAUAUAUCUGCUAACAAGACUCAUAGCAUAUGAUAAAUCUGGACGAGAGCAGACCAUGGCAUACAUCAAAGACCCAACAGCACUAGAAUAAGGAACCCUUGACAUGUAAUUAGUCUCUGCAUCUGUACUAGGACACUGAGCAGCUGACAACUUAAAGUAAGGUGCAAUAGGGGUACUAACAGCCUUAGCAUUCUGCAUGUUGAAACGCUGAAGAACUUUCUUGAUAUAAUUUUGUUGACUUAGAAAUAGCAAACCAGAUUUUCUUUCUCUACUAAUUUCCAUACCAAGAAUUUUCUUAGCACUACCAAGAUCUUUCAUAUCAAACUCACUACUCAAUAACUUCUUUAACUUAGUGAUUUCAAUCUUACUCUUGGCAGCAAUCAACAUAUCAUCAACAUAUAACAACAAAUAUAUAGGUGAUCCAUUAACAUGCUUGAUGUAUACACAGCUAUCAUAUUUAGAUCUUUUAAAACUGUGUGACAACAUAAAUGAAUCAAACCUCUUGUUCCACUGACGAGGGGACUGUUUCAAACCAUACAAGGAUCGCUUCAACUUGCACACAUAUUUCUCCUUGCCAGGCACUAUGAACCCUUCCGGUUGGUCCAUGUAUAUGUCAUCCUCAAGCUCUCCAUGCAAAAACGCAGUCUUCACAUCUAACUGCUCAAGCUCAAGAUCAUGUGAAGCAACAAUACUUAGGAAAGUAUGAAUUGAACUCAUACCACUGGAGAGAAUACAUCAUUAUAGUCAACACCCGAAAUUUGAAUAUAUCCUUUGGCUACUAACCUUGCCUUGUACUUUGGAGGCUCACUUGGAGAUAAACCCUCCUUUCUCUUGAAGAUCCAUUUGCAGUUGAUGGUCUUCUUUUUCUUAGGCAAAGGUACAACCUCCCAUGUACUGUUCUUCUCAAGAGACUGCAUCUCCUCAUGCAUAGUAGAAAUCCAAUUCUCACUAUCACCACAACGAACAACCUCUUUGUAGGUUGCUGGCUCAUGAACAUUCUCCACCUGUUCAGCACAACUCAAAGCAUAGUAAGACAAAUUACAUUCUUCAAUGAGACGUUUGGGAGGUACAACUGUCCUUUUUGACUUGCGUUGAGCAAUAGGUAAAUCCUCCUCUUGCUGCAAAAUAGGAGGAGUUUGCUGAACAUCAUCAUGAGCAUCAUCAUCAGCAACAUCAUUAGCAUGGUCAUCAUGCUCAUCAAUAGGCUCCACCUGCACACCUGUAUCAUCAUCAACAUGCCCCACCUGCAUGUGUAUAUCAUCAUCAACAUGCUCCACCUGCAUGCGCAUACACUGCAGCUCUGUUUCUGGAACAUGAUCUGAGGGCAAACUGUCAGUAAACAUCAUAGAUUCGUUGAAAACAACACUUCUGCUCAUAAAAGUCUUUCCUGUAUCGGGAUUCCACAGUUUAUAACCCUUGACUCCCGAGCUAUAACCAAGAAAAAGACACUUAAUAGCUCUAGGCUCUAAUUUUCCAUUAUCAACAUGAGCAUAAGCAGUGCAUCCAAAAACUUUCAACUGUGAAUAAUCUACAGGUGUACCAGACCAUACCUCAAUAGGAGUUUUCUUAUUAAGUGGAAUAGAAGGCGACCUGUUUAUCAAGUAACAGGCAGUAUUUGCAGCUUCAGCCCAAAACUGCUUGCUCAUCCUGGCAUUAGACAGCAUGCAACGGGCCUUGGAUAUGAUGGUUCUGUUCAUACGUUCAGCCACACCAUUCUGUUGUGGAGUAUGGGGUAUGGUGUGAUGCCGAACAAUACCUUCCUGUCUGCAAUAAUCAUUAAAGGCAUGCGAACAAAAUUCUCCACCAUUAUCAGUACAAAGUAAUUUUACCUUUCUUUCAGUUUGCCUUUCUAUCAAUACUUUCCAGUUCUUAAAAGCAUCAAAAGUAUCAUCUUUAUGUUUCAGAAAAUAAGGCCAAACCCUUUUAGAGUAAUCAUCAAUAAUUGUAAGCAUGUAACGAGCACCACCAAGUGAGGGCUUCUUAGAAGGACCCCACAAAUCAGUAUGAACAUAAUCAAGAGUACCUUUGUGCUGUGAACCGAAGUGUUAAAGUGUACCCUUAUAUGCUUCCCGAAAAUACAAUGCUCACAAAACUUCAUGUUACUCGGAGUGCAGCCCUUCAACAAGUUUCUCUUCACCAAUUCUGUGAUACCAAGUUUACUCAUAUGUCCCAAACACAUAUGCCAAAGGUUAGUCUUACUAGGUUCAUCAUUAGUAACAGCGGAAGCAAUAGAAUCAGAACCAGGUAAAGUACACCCUCUAAGGACAUAUAAAUGUGCAGAACUCAGAUCACCUUUUAGGCAAACAAGAGAACCUUUAGACACCUUUAGAACGCCAUUUGAACCGGAAUAUUUGUAACCUUCUGCAUCUAGCGUGCUCAAUGAGAUAAAAUUUCUAGACAUCCCUGGAAUAUACCUGACAUUCUUCAGUGUGUGUGUCAUGCCAUCAUCAGUCUUGAUCUGAACUGAUCCUAUUCCCACGAUCUCACAUGGGUUAUCAUCUCCCAUCCGCACAACAUUCCCUUUCUGCACAGGCUCAUAUGAACUAAACCAAUUUCUGUUAGUGCAAAUAUGAAAUGAACAUGCAGAAUCAAGAAUCCAUUCAUCAUGACUUGCAACACAACCAGCAAAUACUACCAGACAAUCUCCAGAAUCAUCAUCAGAAGCAGCAGCAGCAGCAACAACAGAGACCUUACCAGCCGACUUGUUGUUUUUCUUCUCCUUAUUCUUUAGUUUUCUGCAGUCCUCAACAUUAUGAUUUUUCAACUUGCAGAAAACACAGAAUUUUUUAUUACCAGGCGGCUUGGACUUUGAACGGCCUCUUCCAUCGUAGCUCUUGUCACGACUGUCAUUGGAGUAUCUAUGCUCAGAUCUGCCUCUCACAUGCAAAGCUUCGCCCUUGGAGGACGACGACCCGUCAUACUGCACCAUGCCUUUCAUCUUCUCCCUAGACUGGAGAGCCUCAUAAACUUCCUUUAGGGUUAGUUCAUCACGGCUUAAAAGUAUGGUGUCACGGAAAUUUGCAUACGAAUUUGGCAAUGAACAUAGAAGUAAAAGACCUAAGUCCUCAUCAUCAUACUUCACCUCCAUCGGCACUAGAUCAGCCAUGAUCUUCUUAAAUUCAGCGAUGUGGGUCAUCACCGAAUCCUCCUUCAUCUUUAGAGUGAACAGCUUCAUCUUCAUCUGCAUCUUACUGGUUAGAUCCUUGGACAUACAGAUCGAUUCCAGUUUCAGCCAUAGUUCUGCAGAAGUUUUCUCCUUCAAACACUCCUGCAAAAUAUCAUUAUGAAGAUAUAGCUGGAUUAGUGCGAGCGCCUUCUGAUCCUUGCGGGUCUCCUUAGGAGUCCACUCGGCCUUCCUCUUGCCGAAAUUAUCCAGCGCCUCAUCAUAGUCAUGAGUCUGCGCCAGAAUCCCCCGCAUCUUGACUUGCCAUAGCGAGAACCGCGUGUCGUAGUUCAAUAGCGGAAGAUCGAACUUCAUCGACGUCGACAUGAACCGAUUUACGUGGAAAACCCCUCCAAUGCGAAAGGGAAAAACCACGGGCGCCAGCCAGCAACUCUUCUCACUAUUUUCAAGUGUCGGGUUACAAGUUACAACACCAUGCGGUGGCUUACAAGAGAAUGAAAUAUAUUGUCAUCUUAGUGGAACUCUAUUCUGAGCAAAUGACUAUUCAUAGCCUAUGCAUGCCAUCCAACAAUAUUACUUCAUGGCUGUGCGCAAGGAGUGUGACGAAGAUCACGCAUCUCUCUUGAAGACCAUGACCUUGCGAAUGUCAUGCAACCACAUUUCUUUUGCCAACCAUAGCCAUACAAUGUGCAUGCAAUUCCUUCACGCACAUAUGCUAUUCAUAGAGAAAGCAUCACGUUGAAUUUGGAACACUUCAACAGUGGUUUCCUGGACAGUGCGGCGGUCCCCGUGCCGCGCAUCGUCUUCGCCUUCACCGUGCGACGCCUAGUCCGCCACGGGGACCGACGGCAGCCCCAGGCAACGGUCCGACUGCUGGCCAAGUGGCUGCGCGUGGCGCACACGCUCCCCGACGACCUGUUCGUGAAGGCGGCCAUGGAGCCGGAGCUCGAUGACGCCAGCGUGAGGCACCUGCUGGUGACCUUCAAGUCACUGUUCCUCGGCAGCAACUGCAACGGGACGGUGGCAGAGAUGAGCACCCACCUACCGGAGCUUGGCGUCACGGCGAAAGACUGCAGAGACAUGAGCUGGAUCCAGUCGAUGCUCUACUUCUAUGGGUGCACGAGCGGGCAGGCCACCGCGGAGGGGCUCCUUGACCGGAGCCUGCAGCCCAAGGACUACUACAAGUUCAAGCUGGACUACGUGACGACCCCGAUCUUGGUGUCCGUGCAGGCGGGGCUCCUCGCCAGGGUGGUGGAGGACAGGGGCGGGUCCAUCGACGUGGACCCACAGGGCAGCGCCAUGAGCGCGAUGCUAGACUCGGACACGCCGUAGGCGCACCGGCGAGGGUACCUGUACAACGUGCAGUACUUUGUCAAGUGGGGCGGCGACGCCAAUGUGUCGUACGAGGACGCGCACCUCGGGUGGGUGUAGGGCGUGCACCGGUGGAUGACGCCGUAUGCGACCGUGAGUCCCCGGGCGGCGUACGUCAACUUCAGGGACCUGGACCUGGGGCAGAACGUGGACGGGGAGACGACCUACGAGGCGGCCAGGGCAUGGGGGGAGAUGUACUUCAGGGGUAACUUCAGGAGGCUGGCCAUGGUGAAGGCCGAGGUGGAUCCUGACCAGGUGUUCUGGAGCGAGCAGAGCAUCCCUCCCCUGUUUGAGGUUGGGGAGGAGACAGGGGAAUGACACAGUCAGAGUGGGUUGUUUUUAGACAAUUGAUGAGUGAUCUUCUCCUUCUCUUGCCCGAAAAGCCAUGAAAUAUUGUUUGUUGAUUUGUUGUGAGAAAAACACUAUUGAAUAGUUAACAGUCGGCAGUUAAGCUAAAGCAAACAUGCUCAUCUAUUCUGCAAUAGAAUGUGAUGUGCUUUCCCCAAGUGUCAAUAGCCAAUGAUGCAAUAGAACAGCACAGUGAUGUAUCAAUCAUAUAUUCAUGAAUUACCAAAGGCGACACUGUGAUUUCUAAAUUCUGCGCGACAUCUUGUUGCUAGUUUCAGCAUUUUCAGUGUGGCACUGCUGAUAUUGCGAGGCAAGGAGUAUUGGCGCCCAUGCUAUGUACAAAACCAGCACCGAAACUGCAGGGCCUCAACUGAAGUUGCAGUGGAGGUUGACAUGGAAUGAACUAGAAAACCAGCUCGGCUUUGUCGUGCCCUCCGUGGAGUGGGUCAGCCUGUUUUUACAGGUUUUGUUACUCCUCUUUUCUCUAUAUCUUCUCUACUUUUCACAGUAUCUUCUUUGGAAGACGUAUUAAUACUGAUAAAUAGAGGGGAUAAUUGUGCCUAUAAAACAGUGGUAAUAUUGAGAUAUGGUAAAACUUUUCUAUGCUAACAUCUUUAGAACAAAUGUGUAUUUCCAUUUUCUGCCUAAUCAAAUGUUGUUCGUUUAGGAGGCCUAGAACCUAUCAUAGAUCUCACUUAAUUUGUGGACAGGUUUUUCAAUAGCUUGGAGGUAUAGCUUGUAUCUAUAUGUUAUGAAUAAUAAACAGAUAUUAAAUUGCUUUUGUCUCCAAUUUAGUUCUGUUUUUUUGGGUUAGGUCCCUGGAAUCAUCAGAGAGGUCUCAAGCUAACAUAAACAUGGACCACUUUAGCACGAGUGCUAGAACUUUAUUGUGAUCAUACCAUUACCAUCCAGAGUGCAGCAUCAUUUCUUCUUGGAAGUCUAUUACUACAACGUGGGAGAUAUGGAGACAAAGAAACCCUCAAAUCUUGAGGGGAACUCUAAUACACAGGAGAUAUGUGUAUCAAGAAGAAAAGGGGAUAGAAACCAACAACAUCACACAACCCCACGACACAGACAGAUCACACACAAAAACAAAACGAAAAUGAACUCGCCAAUGACUGCAAGCACCAAACAACCUCAGCCAACAAAGUAACUAACGGUAGACCUAAAGGCGAGGAAAUGUGAAACAUCUCGAGCCAUAGCUAAACACUAUAAAUGUAGUUCCUUCCUGAUGAACUCUAAAACUCCAUUCAAACUAGGCCAGAUCCCAUCAAACACGUAUGGAUUGUGGAGAUUCCAGAUUGCCCAUGUUCGAAGGAUAAUAAUGGAGUUGAGACCUCCAACUUUUGUUUGAAACAUUCCAAAGUGAUAAAAAGGUUCAACCUAGGUGUCAACACUAAGUGAUCCUACCUGUCUUUAAUUAGGUUACCCAUACAAGAGAGAUCAACAAACUAAUGUGCCUCCCAUUUUCUAAGUAAGUCAUCAUAGAUGUCUCGUUUCUUAAUCUUUUGCAUGCACAACUUCAGCUUGGACAGUGUCGAUGAACUCAACUUGUCAUCCUUCAGCUUUGAAACAAGCAUGUUCCCACACUCCUCUAAAGGUGGCAAGCCAUUCUCCACCACGCAGCUCCAAAUUCUGAUCCCAGUCUCCCAAUAGCGUGCAUCCAAAAACAAGCGAAGUGCAAGCGAACAAUUUCCCUCGUUUGGCCAACAUUCGUUCUUAACCAUCUCGCUAAAUAUUGUUGCUGCCUUAUGGAGCUCCCUUCUCUCUAGCAAAAUCAGGAGGAACACAUUGUAUGUGUUGGUAUCAGGGACCAAUCCAUUGAAGAUCAUGUCAUCGAGAUAAUCCACUAUCACCUCAACAUGCCCAAGACUGCCCUGUAGCAUGAUCAUUGUGUUGUACAUUUCCAUGUCUGGGACAAGCCCUCGACGCCCAACAAACUUGUCCCAUAGAUAAGUGGCGCCGCGCAAUUCUCCUGCCUCAAGGUGCACGGCGACAACAGCACAGAAGAACCUCUCUCCUGCUCCCGGCGAACAGCUGCGCUUGUUUAAGAAGUCUAGAUAGUACAUUGCUUCUAGUAGCGCCAUGGAGGAGUUGCUUGACACAAGCAUAGCGAGGAAGGCCUCAUAGGCAGGCAUGUUGUCAGGACCAACACCGAUAUCAUGCACCAUUUCAUCGCACACGUCACGCGCACCCCGCGUGUCGGCAGCAGCCUCGCAGCACUCGAGGAGGAUGGCAUAGGAGUCGGCAUCCAGAAGCGUGCCAGCCUCGGCGUGGGCUACAGGGAUCGCCGCACGAGCGUCGUCGAGGCGGUCGGCACGACAGAGCGCGGAGAGGAACGAGUUGAGCGCCGACAUGUCGCGGGCCAUGCCAUAGCGCGGCAUGUCGUCCAUGAACGCCUUGAGCGGGGAACAGCCGGGGCUUGCCGCCAGGGAGGAGAAUACGGAGGCGAAAGUGUCGAGCGAGAGGAGCCGCCGCGAGUGCAUGGAGUCGAGGUUUCCCACAUGCGCGUGAAGAGGCGGUUUGCACCGAGGAUGUCGACGACGAGGUUCCAUGAGUAGGGGGAGUGGUUGUCGUGGCCGAGGUGCCAGUGCCCCGCCCAGUGGAAGAAGGCGGCGGCAGCGUGCGGGUGCGCGUAGGAUAAGUGAAGCACCUGUUCGACGUCAGCGGUGGUUACACCGCGGAUGUCGGCCUCAUCGAGCGCGGCGUCCAUGUCGUCGUCGGCGCGGGAGGCUAGGAUAUCGUAGAAGAUGCGGGUCUUGUGCGGCAGCUCGGAGGCUUCCUUGUUUGUGGGGAACGCCGGCGAGGACGGGUCGCGGGCGCGCUUCGCCGCCGACGAUGCCAUCGUGGUUGCGUUGUCGGACGGCCGCUUCGCUAGGUGAUGGGACAUCACGGCAGGGGAACUCGAGCGGUCGCCUGGACAGUGGACCGGACCCCGGGAGGCUGCACUGCUGCAGGGGUCAAGUUGGGCCGACGGGAUUACGCCAUGUUCCGUUAAACUGUACGAAGUAUCACAUAGGCCUUGUUUUUCUCCAUAAAAAUUUCAAGAUUCUUUGUCACAUCAAAUCUUGCGGCACAUACAUAAAGGACUAAGGCUUUGUUUAGAUCAAAAAGUUUUUAGAUUUUGACACUAUAGCACUUUUAUUUUUAUUUUAACUAGAUUUAAAAGAUUCUUCUCGCGAUUUAUGCAAUUAGUUUUUGUUUUUAUCUAUAUUUAAUGCUCUAUGCAUGUGUUGCAAGAUUCGAUGUGAUUGGAAAUUUAGAAAAGUUUUUGGUUUUGGGAACUAAACAAGGCCUCAAAAACUAAAAAGUUUUCAAGAUUUCCCGUCACAUCAAAUCUUGCGGUAUAUAUAUGGAGCAUUAAAUAUAAAAAAAAUAAAAACUAAUUACACAGUUAUCUGUAAAUCGUGAGAUAAAUCUUCUGAACCUAGUUAAUCCGUGAUUGAACAAUAAUUAUUAAAUAAAAACAAAAAUACUACAAUAUCCCAAAUAAAAAAUUUUUGGGAACGGCCUAAAUAUAAAAAAAAUAGAAACUAAUUACACAAUUUACCUAUGAUUUGCGAGAUGAAUCUUUUGAGCCUAGUUAGGCCAUGACUGGACAAUAAUACCAAAUAUACAAACAAAAGUGCUACAGUACCCAAAAUCCAAAACUUUUGCCAACUAAAUAAGGCUUUAGUUCACCCAAAAACUAAAAGCUUUUCAAGAUUUUCCGUCAUAUAGAAUCUUGCGGCACAUGAAGCAUUAAAUAUAGUUGAAAACAAAAACUAAUUUUAUAGUUUCCGCUGAAUGCUUUGCCACCGAUGUCAAUGGUUCUGGCUGGGCUGAUACUUUGCGGUUGCAGCUCUUGGUGAUUUCUUCGCUGUUGUUCGCUGUUGUUUCGGCUUUCCUAGCGAAGGGGAGGAGAAUGAGCUCGUAGCUCGAAGGGCCUUGCAAACAUCUACGAGUGUUUGGUUUUUCAGUUUAAUGGGUGGCAAACCCGCUAGCAUUUGUUUCAAUUGGUUCAUGUGACGAGCUGACUCGAUUCUUAUGGUUAGCAGGUUAUUGGAUGAUGCGGCCCUAUCCAUGGAUAUAUUUUUGGAUGCAUAAUUUCUCGAGCGCCUGGUUUUAGUUUAAUGGGUGAGACACCCGCUAACAUUUGUAUCGAAUGUUCACGUGAUGAGCUGGCUCGAUCCUACACCUUUUGGGUUAUUAGGUGAGUCUUAGAGAGUUUUCAAAACUGUCAUGUCAUGUGAAAUAAAAUAAAAUUAGGAUAAAACACACACUCUCAAUGGAGAGUUUUAUUUUAUAGUUUCAUAGGCAUUUAAUUCCAAAACUUAUAGAGAGUUGGUAAUUGUGCCAAGAGAGUUUCAUCUAGAUGAAACUCAUUUCUUCUCUCUCUUCUUAAAUACACUGUCAUAUCAUAAAAACCCCUAUGUCGCAACCUAUUUAAUGCAAAUAAAACUCAAAUAAAUCUCCCAUUGAAACUGCUUAGAUGACGUGGCCUUCAUCCAUGGGCUCACUUUUUGAUAUAGAUUCCUAUAUUAUUUUAUUAUAAAGAAGAUUCAUAGUUUCUCCGUCCUAAAAUAAUUGUUGUUUGUAUUUCUCAAUAAAUUAAUUUGACUAAAUAUAUAUUAAAAAAUAUUAAUGUUUAUGGUACAUAAUAAGUAUCAUUAGAAGGAUCUUUAAGUCUAGUUUUGAACAAAUUUAUUUGAUGAUACAAAUAUUGCAUGUGUUUUCUACAAAUCAAAACAAACUUAUGAUAUGAAAAUUAAAAGCUACAAUUAAUUUAGGAUGGAUAGACUGGCCUUGUUUAGUUCCGAAAAUUUUUUAGAUUUCGAUAGUGUAGUAUUUUCGUUUUUAUUUGACAAAUAUUAUCUAAUUACAGACUGUUUCUGUUUGCUUCUCUUCUCACUCCUCGUCUAGCUAUCCAUCCAUGGCGCCCUUGGCCUUAACUCUGGUGCCCGCCAGCUACCUAUAUAUAUAUACUCUGCAAACAGCUAGGGGUGUUUGAUUGGUGAUUAGAUACUGUAACAUUUUCGUUUUAUUCGACAAUUAUUAUCCAAUCAUAAACUAAUUAGGUCUAAAAGAUUCGUCUCGUAAAUUACUUUCUAGCUAUAUUUUUAGUUUUUAUAAAUAAUCUACAUUUAGUAUUUUAUGCAUGUAUCUAAAUAUUUGAUGUGACGAACAAUAUAAUUUAUUCGCCCGUAACGUGAAGACGAAAUCUAGAUAUGCUCGGCGUGUGCUACUACACAAUUGAGACUUCAGGGAAGCUUCUCUCUUCUCUUUUCAGCUGUCUGGGCCUGGGCUGUGUUGCAUGCAGAAUUCUGCAUGCAUAGCAUAGGUGCCGCUCUCGCUGCCAUGCCCAGCAUAGGUGCCUCCCAUCGGUUAGAGCCUGGGACAAAGCCUAUUGACUUGAGCUUAUCUAUUAAAUUUGACAGUUGAUGUUUAAGAACUAAUAAUAUAAUGACAAAAUAUAAUUUCUAGUAUGAUGUAACUUAACACUUACUGUGUAACAAAAAAAAGCAGGACACGCAUAUCGGCAUAUGGUUCUCCUCAUCCAUCCGAUCCAUCCUUCAAAUAAUUCUCCGCUAUGUUUGCUCAUGGCUUCAUUAUACGACAUGGUGUCAUCAUCCAGAAUAUAUAAUCCAUGGGACGGACUUUUCCCUAGCCCUCCUAGCUUAGCUUAGCCUUCUUGCUCGUUAGUUAUAUACUCCCUUCAUCUUAAAUUGUAAGUCAUUCCAAGAAUCUUGAAAAGUCAAAGCAUUUUCACGUUUGACCAAAAUUAUAAAGAAAAAUACUAAGAUUUGUAACGUAAAGUGAGUAUAUUAUGAAAAUAUAAUUAAGAAAAAAAUCUAAUGAUACUUAGUUAGUAUCAUAAUAAUUAUUAUUUUAUAAUAUAAAUUUGGUUAAACUUAAAAAAUUUGACUCUUCAAGAUUCUUGAAAUGACUUACAAUUUAGAAUGGAGGGAGUAUUAGAUUAGAUCUUUGUCAAACGGCCGUCGCUGCUCAAAUUAAAAGAUAUAAGAGCAAGGUCAAUAAUAGAGCCAAGUACUUGGUUAUAUAAGCUAAGUAAUUAGAGCCAAGUUAUACAAUAAGUUGUCUUAUACUUGUUCUAAACAUUUUCUCUUUCCUAUUCCUUCUCACAACACUUGCUAUUUGGACCCACUACUACCUAGGUCUUGUUUACUUCCCCAAAUAUUUUGCCAAAUGUUUCAUAUUCUCCGUCACAUCAAAUCUUACGACACAUGCAUGAAACAUUAAAUAUAGUUAAAAAAGAUAACUAAUUACACAGUUUGCAUAUAAUUUGCGAGACGAAUUUUUUGAGCCUAGUUAGCCUAUGAUUGGACAAUAUUUGUCAAAUACAAACGAAAGUGGUACUAUUCAUAUUUUGCAAAAAUUUUUGCAAGUAAACAAUCCGUGCCCAGCUUGGUGUUUAUAUGAGCGCUAAGCUAUCAUCUUUCUUCUCUCUUCUCUCCUCCACAUCAGUAUUAGCUUGGCUAUAAACCCAUUAUUAUACCUCCUCUAAUAGCUGUUGCAAUUGCAGCCCAACAAAGUGAAGUACAAUGGUGCUGUGGUGGUUUGAUCGCCCAGCUACGAUAUCAUUUGACAUGGAGCAGAGCUAGUAGCAGUACAAGUUGUACUUGCAGGGACGAUAGAGGCCAUGCACGCACAUGGAUCAUGGAAUUAAUCCUAUCACGUGGACCAUGGUUGAAUAUAUAAUCGCAUCUCGUCAAAGGAAAUGAUUGAGCUGUGCGCCUUUUUCAUGUGUGACAGUAGUGUGCGUUGCCGCUGGACAUUCGCAUGGGCUUCUCCACUCUGUCGCCAUGAAAUCUCUCUCUAUUUCUGAGAUUGUGCAAUGCCGAAGGAUGCUACCUGUUGGGGCUUCCAAGCGUCGCCUUCCCAUCAGUUUAGUCUCCUCCACUAGAUAUCAUACAACCACAGUUCAAGCUGCAGAGCGUCUACCGUCUUCCAAAAAUUUUCAGAUUCCGUCACAUCGAAUCUUUAGACGCACGUAUGGAGUCUUAAAUAUUCAUCAUAAAAAUAAAAACUAAUUGCACAAUUUACCUAUAAUUUGCGAGACGAAUCUUUUAAGCCUAGUUGAUCGAUAAUUGGACAAUAAUUAUCAAAUACAAACGAAAGUACUAUAUUAGCCAAAACCAAAAAAAAUCGCAAACUAAACUAGACCUAAGCAACAGCCAAAGCCACACAUUCCUCUACGAUCUUUUUCUUCUUCUGGAGCGAGUCGAGGCUACUCGUCCUCGAUAAGAAAAGCCAGCGGCCUUUCGUCGCGUAACAGGCAUAUGCAUGGUCUAUCUCCAUUGGAAUAAAGCAAUGGAUUCUGGCUUGCUUCUGUUGGCACGUAGGAGCAUAUAUCUUUUUUUAGAUUUCUCUAGCUGACCGGACUUUCUUUACCGGCGCGGCGAAAGGAGGACGACGCAUGUCCUACCGGAUAUGCUCUUUUCUGUCAUGGUAUAAGUAGGCGACCCUGUCGUUCCUCUCCUCACCAACAAACCCAAAAACGACAUGGUAUGCAUGCCUACCUUCGGUAUCGAUCUUACCUACUAUCCUUGAAGCAAUGAAGCAUGUGUUUAUGGAAAUGUGGAGGUCCAUUGCAGGGCAACCCUCCGUUGGCAGGUGCGACCUACACCCUACCCUGCCAAAGGGGAUUUGCCCAGCGAUGCGCCUGCACACACACACUUUCGCCACCUGCAGGCUGCAACAACUCAAGGUAGAAGAAGGGGCAGAUUUUUAUAUUUUAAUAAUAAUCCUUCCAAAAAAUAUUUUGCAUCAGAUAGCUCCACUGGCGUGACCAAACAACAUAGUCACGUCACAUGCAUUGACCCGACAAGAAACGACACAUUCGACAGCGUUUUUGACGUGGAAAAGCUUAUCACGCCACUCUCAAACUUUUAAAAAUCAUAACUCUUCGAUACAACGUCGGAUGAAAAAAAAAUUAUAUGAAACUUGUAGGAACCUAAUAUUUUCUGGGACAUGUGAUGCAAAAAUAUUUUUCUAGGAUGAUUAAUAUUAAAAUAUUUAUUAAAAAAGAUUAAAGUAUAAAAAAAAUCUAAGAAGACGACGGUGCUCCACCCGGCCUGCUACAUUCGGCCUUUCUUCGGCCCAUCAGACAGGAGCCCAAUAUUCGGCCUGGGUUGAACAAAGCCCAAAACCUAUCACAUGGUCACCAAAAGCCCAAAAAGGCCCAUGAAAAGCCUAUCCCAGCUCCCACCACCAGUGCACCACCCCAACUAGGGUUGCUCCCUUUCAACCUCGCGCCGCCACCCCCCUUCAUCUCUCGACGCCCAUCUCCUCCACCAUCCGCCGCCGCCGCCGAGAACGAGGAGAAGAGGAUCCGGCCGUUUCCUCGCCCCCAUGGUACCGCCUCCAUUCCAUCCUCGUGCUCCCAUUCCCAUCUUCUCGCCUUCCUCUUCCUCGUCCUGCCUGUGACAUGUGACGCUAACUCGCGUGGCGUUCCGCAGGCGUCCGAGAAGAAGCAGUCGAACCCGAUGCGGGAGAUCAAGGUGCAGAAGCUCGUCCUCAACAUCUCCGUCGGGGAGAGCGGUGACCGCCUCACCCGCGCCGCCAAGGUGCUCGAGCAGCUCAGCGGCCAGACCCCUGUCUUCUCCAAGGGUGAGUGUGCUGAGUUCUUCCGGCUCCGUUUCUUUCCCUUUCGCUGACGGGGUGCGUCCUUUUUGCCUGAUUUGCUGGUCGGUCUUGCAGCGAGGUACACGGUGCGGUCGUUCGGCAUCCGGCGCAACGAGAAGAUCGCCUGCUACGUCACUGUCAGGGGCGAGAAGGCCAUGCAGCUGCUUGAGAGCGGCCUCAAGGUCAAGGAGUACGAGCUGCUCAGGAGGAACUUCAGCGACACCGGGUGCUUCGGAUUCGGCAUCCAGGAGCACAUCGACCUUGGUAUCAAGUAUGGCUCCGUCGUACUUUUUCGAGAAUCUUUGCUAUGAUUCAGGCCAUAUGUUGUGUCAGUACAUAGGUUCUUGUUUUUGCACAUCAACUGUUUUUGCUACAUCGGUUGCUGUUGUUGUUAGAAGCUUCAAAAUUUCGGUCCUCUAUUUCCAUGUGGUGAGGCUACCAGUGAUAAAUCCGAUGCUAGUAAAUCCUUGGCUUGUUUUCUAGUACUAUCUUUGUCCAUUAGCUCCAAGCCCAGUAAUUGUUUCUGAACAUGACUGAUGCUUUAGUUCACUAUGAGCAUGUUUUUAGAAUUGAUUAAAACAUUGUUCUAGGUGUUUGUUGUUUAAGACUGAGGUCCAGAAAUCACAAAUCAUUCUGCAGUUAUUGCACAGUUAGUUGUCAUACAAGUGGAUAAUAUUUUUCUUCUGUCAUUGCGAUGCUAGUUCAGUGGAAGUUUACAGUUUAGUCUGUGACAUUGUGUGCAUUGUUGGUACAAUGCAGUUCUUGAAUUUUGUCAUCUGUGCAGAGUUUAUCUGGUUUUGCAUAUUUACAUUUAGUGUUUGUUCCUACUGUUAAGACUGAAACGUGCUCCGUGUAUAUAUAAUUUAAAUUGUCUGUUUAUCCUGAUGUUUCCGUUUUUGUCUGAUGAGCCUUGUUGUUAGUAUUUGAGGCAUUGGUUCCUUACUCCUUAUGCGGUAAAGAAUGUACUAAUAGCCAUUUAAUGACCUGAAAUAUUUGUGUCAGCUGAGGAUUGCUAACAUGAAUUAAGCUAUACUGCUAUACCUUUAAAUUUUUAAUAAGCCACACACCAAUGCAAAUUUUAAUUCUGUCGGCAGAGGCACAUAGUUUUUCAAUAUGCUCUGUUUUUAGUUUUAUAUAUUCUCUCCAGAGGCACUGAGCCAUGUCUUUGUAUUGUGCAGGUAUGAUCCAUCAACGGGCAUCUAUGGAAUGGACUUCUAUGUCGUGCUGGAGCGUGCUGGCUACCGUGUUGCGCGCCGCAGGAGGUGCAAGGCCCGCGUUGGGAUCCAGCACAGGGUGACCAAGGAGGACUCGAUGAAGUGGUUCCAGGUCAAGUACGAAGGUGUCAUCCUCAACAAGGCUCAGGCCAACACGGUGUAAACCUUAGUUUGUCUAAGCUCCAUGCAGACGCAAGAUCACCAUGCAAGGUUUUUGUUCACAUUGUAUUCUCUGACCUGAUGGUUUAGUCUACUACUAUAGCAGAGCUAUAAAACGCCAUAUGAAUUAUUUCAGUGCCCGUAUCAUACAUUCAUACUCUGUUCUGUUGCUUGAAAACAUGCUAGUCUGAUCUCCUAGCGCAGCUUGUGAUCUGGCUCUUCUUUGGUUAGAUUGCUUUAUUUAUCUGCCACACCUGGUUUUUGUUGGCGAAUAGCUGUCACCCGAUCUUGAAAAUUGAAGCGAACUGAGGGGAAGGUUUCUAAUGUUUGUAUUUGGGUAUCAGCGCAGUACGAACAUUUGUGUACUGAUUGUUGUCUCUACAGAAUUUCUUCAAAAGGGUGGUAAAAUUCCAUGGGUGAAUGCAAGUGUCUACUGUCAUCAAGCCAUCAGGGACAGGGAGUACGAAACAAGGGCUUGUGUUAUCUUAAAAUUUAUACGCUUAUAUUUUAUAUGAACAUAGGGGGUGAGACAUUCCUGAACAGCAGACCAUAAUGCGAAUGUAACCCAACUCGUUACCCUUACCCAUAUCCUGAUACACCUGUCGCCCUCCACGGGAGCUUCGUCCGCUGCGUCACGUGCCUCUCGCCGGCGACCACUGAACCGUCCUGGCUCGUCCACACACCGUCGGUGGUGUCCUACGCUUCCCUGCUCAACGCCACCAUCCAGAACCUCUGCUUCGCCUCCCCACGGACGACGUGGCCGACACUGCUCCUGACCCCAGCGACCGUCGUAGAAGCGCGGGCCUGCGUCGCCUGCUGCCGGCGCCACGGCCUCACGGUCCACGCCCGCAGCGGCGGCCACGACUACAAGGGCCUCUCCUACCGCUCGGUCCUCCGGAGCGCUGGCGCCGCCCGCCCCUUCGCCGUGGUCGACGUCGCCGCACUGCGAUGUCCGCGUCGACGCCGCGCGCCGCGUGGCGACGGUCGGGCCGGGCGCCACGCUCGGGGAGCUCUACUACGCCGUGGCGCGAGACAGCGGCGGAGCGCUAGGGUUCCCUACGGGGAUCUACCCCACUGUCUGCGUGGGCGGCCACCUCAGCGGCGGUGGGUUCGGCCCCAUGAUGCGGAAGCAUGGGCUUGGCGUGAACAACAUGGUGGACGGCGACGAGAGGCUCUUGGACCGCGUGGCCCUGGGCGAGGGCCACUUCUGGGCGAUCCGCGGUGGUGGGGGCAGGAGCUUCGGCGUGGUGGUUUCCUGGACGGUGCCGCUGGUCCCCGUGCCACGCGUCAUCUCCGCCUUCACUGUGCGCCGAUUGGUCCGCUGCGGGGACCGACGGCAGACCCAGGCGACGGUCUGGCUGCUGGCCAAGUGGCAGCGCGUGGCGCACGCGCUCCCCGAUGACCUGUUCGUGAAGGCGGCCAUGGAGUCGGAGCUCGACGACACUGGCGAGAGGCACCCGCUGGUGACCUUCAAGUUGUUGUUCCUCGGCGGCAACUGCAGCGGGAUGGUGGCGGAGAUGAGCACCCACCUACCGGAGCUCGGCAUCACAGCGAGCGACUGCAGAGACAUGAGCUGGAUCCAGUCGAUGCUCUACUUCUACGGGUACACGAGCGGGCAGGCCGCCGUGGAGGUGCUCCUUGACCAGAGCCUGCAGCCCAAGGACUACUGCGUGACGACCCCGAUCCCGGCGGCCGGGCUGGCAGGGCUCCUCGCCAGGGUGGUGGAGGACAGGGGCGGGUCCAUCGACGUGAACCCGCAGGGCGGCGCCAUGAGCGCGACGCCGAAGUCGGACACGCGUACGCGCAACGGCGAGGGUACCUGUACAACGUGCUGUACUUCGUCAAGUGGGGCGGCGACUCCAACGUGUCGUACGAAAACGCGCACCUCGGGUGGGUGCGGGGCGUGCACCGGUGGAUGGCGCCAUAUGCGAGCGCGAGUCCCUGGGCGGCUUACGUCAACUUCAGGGACCAGGACCUAGGGCAGAACAUGGACGGGGAGACGACCUAUGACGAGGCCAGGGCGUGGGGGGAGAUGUACUUCAGGGGCAACUUCAGGAGGCUGGCCAUGGUGAAGGCCGAGGUCGAUCCUGACCAGGUGUUCUGGAGCGAGCAGAGCAUCCCUCCCCUUUUUGAGGUUGGGGAGGAGACAGGGGAAUGGCACAGUCAGAGUGGGUUGUUUUCGGACAGUUGAUGAGUGAUCUUCUCCUUCUCUUGCCCGAAAAGCCAUGAAACAUUGCUUGUUGAUUUGUUGUGAGAGAAAAACACAGUUGAAUAGUUAACAGAUUCGGCAGUUAAGCUCAAGCAAACAGGCUCAUCUAUUCUGCGAUAGAAUGUGAUGUGCUUGCCCCAAGUGUCAAUAUCCAAUGAUGCAAUAGAACGAUACAGUGAUGUAUCAAUCAUAUAUUCAUGAAUUACAAAAGGCGACACAGUGAUUUCUAAAUUCUGCGCGACAUCUUGUUGCUAGUUUCAACAUUUUCAGUGUGGCAUUGCUGAUAUUGCGAGGCAAGGAGUAUUGGCGCCCAUGCUAUGUACAAAACCAGCACUGAAACUAUAGGGCCUCAACUGAAGUUGUAGUGGAGGUUGACAUGUAAUGAACUAGAAAACCAGCUCGGCUUUGCCGCGCCCUCCGUGGAGUGGGUCAGCCUGUUUUUACAGGUUUUGUUACUCCUCUUUUCUCUAUAUCUUCUCUACUUUUCACAGUAUCUUCUUUGGAAGACGUAUUAAUACUGAUAAAUAGAGGGGAUAAUUUUGCCUGUAAAACAAUGGUAAUAUUGAGAUAUGGUAAAACUUUUCUUUGCUAACAUCUUUAGAACAAAUGUGUAUUUCCAUUUUCUGCCCAAUCAAAUGUUGUUCUUUUAGGAGGCCUAGAACCUGUCAUAGAUUUCACUUAAUUUGUGGACAGUUUUUUUAUAAUAGCUAGGAGGUAUAGCUUGUAUCUAUAUGUUAUGAAUAAUAAACAUAUAUUAAAGUGAUUUUGUCUCUAAUUUAGUUUUGUUUUUUUUUGAGAGAGAUCCCUGGAAUCGUCAGAGAGGUCUCAAGCUAACAUAAACAUGGACCACUUUAGCACUGAGUGCUAGAACUUUAUUGGGAUCAUACCAUUACCAUCUAGAGUGUAGCAUCAUUUCUUUUUGGAAGUCUAUUACCACAGCGUGGGAGAUAUGGAGACAAAGAAACCCUCAAAUCUUGAGGGGAACUCUAAUACACAGGAGAUCUGUGUAUCAAGAAGAAAAGGGGAUAGAAACCAACAACAUCACACAGCCCCACGACACAGACAGAUCACACACACAAAAAGAAAACAAAAAUGAACUCGCCAAUGACUGCAAGCACCAAACAACCUCAGCCAACAAAGUAACUAACGCUAGACCUAAAGGCGAGGAGAUGUGAAACCCCUCGAGCCACAGCUAAACACUAGAAAUGUAGUUCCUUCUGAUGAAUUCUAAAACUCCAUUCAAACUAGGCUAGAUCCCAUGAAACACGUAUGGAUUGUGGAGAUUCCAGAUUGCCCAUGUUUGAAGGAUGAUAAUGGAGUUUAGACCUCUAACUAUUGUUUGAAACGUUAGAAAGUGAUAAAAAGGUUCAACCUAGGAGUCAACACUAAGUGAUCCUACCUGUCUUUAAUCAGGUUACCCAUACAAGAGAGAUCAACAAACUAAUGUGCCUCCCAUUUUCUAAGUAGGUCAUCAUAGAUGUCUCCUUUCUUAAUCUUCUGCAAGCACAGCUUCAGCUCGGAUUGUGUCGAUAAACUCAACUUGAUACCCCGAUCAACCAUGUCUUCUACAUACUUGCAUGCCUUAGGUAGCCUGUCAUCCUUAAGCUUUGACACAAGCAUGUUCCCACACUCCUCUAAAGGUGGCAAGCCAUUCUCCACCAUGCAGCUCCAGACUCCCAGUCUCCCAAUAGCGUGCAUCCAAAAACAAGCGAAGUGCAAGCGAACAAGUUUCCUCGUUUGGCCAACAUUCGUUCUUAACCAUCUCGCUAAAUAUUGAAGAUCAUGUCGUCAAGAUAAUCCACUAUCACCUCAGCAUGCCCAAGACUACCCUACAACAUGAUCAUUGUGUUGUACAUUUCCAUGUCUCGGACGAGCCCUCGAUGUCCAACAAACUUGUCCCAGAGAGAUAAGUGGCACCGCGCAAUUCUCCAGCCUCAAGGUGCACGACGAGAGCAGCAUGGAAGAACCUCUGUCCUGUUCCCGGCAAACAGUCGUGCCUCUUUAAGAAGUCUAGAUAGUACGUUGCUUUUGGUAGCGCCAUGGAGUAGUUGCUUGACACAAUCGUAGUGAGGAAGGCAUCAUAGGCAGGCACAUUGUCAGGAUCACCACCGAUGUCACGCACCAUUUCGUCGAACACGUCUCGUGCAGCCCACGUGUCGGCGGCAGCCUUGCACACUCGAGGAGGAUUGCGUAGGAGUCGGCAUCCGGUAGCGUGCCGACCUCGGCGCGGGCUACUAGGAUCACCGCGCGGGCGUCGUCGAGGCGGUUGGCACGACAGAGCGCGGAGAGGAGCGAGUUGAGCGUCGUCGUGUCGCAGGCCAUGUCAUAGUGCGGCAUGUCGUCCAUGAACGCCUUGAGCAUGGAACAGCUGGGGCUCGCCGCCAGGGAGGAGAAUACGGAGGCGAAAGUGUCGAGCGAGAGCAGCCACCGUGAGUGCAUGGAGUCGACGGUUUCCCACAUGCGCGUGAAGAUGCGGUUUGUGCCGAGGAUGUCGAUGACGAGGUUCCACGAGUAGGGGGAGUGGUUGUCGUGGCCGAGGUGCCAGUGCCCCGCCAAGUGGAAGAAGGCGGCGGCGGCGCAUGGGUGCGCGUAGGAUAAGCGAAGCACCUGCUCGACGUUAGUGGUGGUUACACCGCGGAUGUCGGCCUUGUCGAGCGCGGCGUCCACGUCGUCGUCGGCAAUGGGAGGCUAGGAUAUCGCAGAAGAUGCAGGUCUUGUGCGGCAGCUCGGGGGCUUCCUUGUUCGUGGGGAACGCCAGUGAGGACGGGUCGCGGGCGCGCUUUGCCGCCGGCGAUGCCACCGUGGCUGCGCUGUCGGACGGCCGCUUCGCCAGGUGAUGGGACAUCACAGAUUCACGGCGGGGGAACUCGAGUGGUCGCCAUUACGAGAGGCUGCACUGCUGCUGCAGGGGUCAAGUUGGGCCGGCGAGGUUACGCCAUGUUAUGUUAAACUCUAUGGAGUAUCACAUAGGCUUUGUUUUUUUCCUUAAAAAUUUCAAGAUUUCUCGUCACAUCGAAUCUUGCAGCACAUACAUAAAGGAUUAAGACUUUGUUUAGAUCCAAAAAGUUUUUAGAUUAUGACACUAUAUCACUUUUAUUUUUAUUUGACGAACAUUAUUUAACCAUAGACUAACUAGGCUUAAAAGAUUUGUCUUGCGAUUUACAGACAAACUAUGCAAUUAGUUUCUUUCAUCUAUAUUUAAUGCUCUAUGCAUGUGUUGCAAGAUUAAUGUGAUAGGGAAUCUUGAAAAGUUUUUGGUUUUGGGUGAACUAAACAAAGCCUUAGACCUUCACCCCAAAAUCUAAAAUUUUUUCAAGAUUCCCCGUCACAUCAAAUCUUGUGGUAUAUGCAUGGAGCAUUAAAUAUAGAUAAAAAUAAAAACUAAUUGCACAGUUUACAUAUAAAUCGCGAGAUAAAUCUUUUGAGUCUAGUUAAUACAUGACUGAACAAUAAUUGUCAAAUAAAAAUGAAAAUACUAUAGUAUCCUAAACCAAACAAUUUCGGGAACUAAACAAGGCCUCAAUAUAAACAAAAAUAGAAAGUAAUUACACAAUUUACCUAUGAUUUACGAGAUGAAUCUUUUGAGCCUGGUUAGGCCAUGACUGGACAAUCAUUACCAAAUAUACAAACGAAAGUGCUACAGUACCCAAAAUCCAAAAAUUUUGCCAACUAAAUAAGGCCUAGUUCACCCAAAAACCAAAAACUUUUCAAGAUUUCCCGUCACAUCGAAUCUUGCGGCACAUGCAUAGAGCAUUAAAUAUAGUCAAAAAAAAAACUAAUUACAUAGUUUACCCGUAAAUCGCGAGAUUAAUCUUUUGAGCCUAGUUAGUCUAUAAUUGGACAAUAAUUGCCAAGGCCCAAAACCAAAAAAAAAUUGGGGCCUUGUUUAGUUCUAAUUUUUUUUUUGCAAAAUCGACACUGUAGCACUUUCGUUUGUAUUUAGUAAAUUUUAUCUAAUCACGGACUAACUAGGCUCCAAAGAUUUGUCUCCCAAAUUACAGACAAAUUGUUCAAUUAGUUAUAAUUGUAUCUAUAUUUAUUGUUUCAUGCAUGCGCCAUAAGAUUUGAUGUGAUGGAAAAUUUGAAUUUUUUUGCAAACUUUUUAAGAACUAAACAAGGCCUAGUUCUCCUUUUUUUCAAAAAUUUUUGGGUUUUUUUUUUUUGCAAAAAGGUAGUUAUUCUCCAUUUUGGAUUUUGACCUCAAGAGGCAAAAAGAACUAAAAGAGAGCCUCAAGAGACUCUCAUGAGGGCAAUAAAUUUUGUAUUUUGAAUGGAACUAAACAUGAUCCUGAAAAUUUUGGUAUUUUGCAUUUCAUCACUCUAAAGUAGGUGGAAUUUCGCAUUUUGGAUUCUUGGGGAACUAAACACCCCCUAAAUUUUAAGACAUAAAGUAUAAAAUAUAGACUAUUUAUAAAAUAAAAAAUAUAGCUAGAAAGUAAUUUGUGAGACAUUUUUAAGCAUAAUUAGUCUAUAAUUAAAUACUAAUUGCUAUAGACAAUGUGCUAAUGAUGGAUUAAUUAAGCUUAGUAAAUUUGUCUCAUGGAGUACUGACAGAAUCUGUAAUUUAUUUAUUUUAUUAAUAUCUGAAUACUUGAGGGAACACCCUAUAUAACAUCUGAUGUGAUCUGUUGCUUUUAAUCCUCUAUCCCUCCUUUCAAAAAAAUAAUUUUGACUAAAUUUAUAUAAAAUUUAUUAAUAUUUAUGAUACAUAACUAAUAUUAUUAGAUACAUUGUUCAAUUCAUUUUUUUCAAAAUAUUUCAAGAUAUAAAUAUUACUAAUAUUUUCUAUAAAUCAAGUGAAAUUUAUUAGCACACAGACUAACAACGAUAAAACUAGUGUACUUUUAGAACGAAGAAGAAAAUGGUAUAUCACUAGUAGAGUGUCUCUAUGCCACGCUCAUGUGUUGAAACAUUUGAUUUUUUUCCUUCAUCGUCUUCUUCCUCCUCCCCAUGCACCAUCGCAAACCUCGUGCCCACCGCUUCCCACAGCGGCGGAGCUCUGGUGAGACCCUACCAUGGCCGCAGCAACCUUCUUUUUCUCCUCCCUGCUCCUACCACUGCUAUGGCCAUGGGAGCCAUCGCCCCGACCUAGCCCAACCACCUCCUCUAUUGCUGGAACCCUAACGCGGCCUGGGCGGCCUACCUCCCCCUAGCAAAGUUGGGAAAGAAGAGAGAGAGGCCCAAGAUGGAGAAAAAUAAGAGAAAGAGAAAUCGAGUGUUGAGAGAGAGAUAAACACUCAAGCACGAGAUGCUUUAUUGGACUAGUACCAUGCAUUUCUACAGUUGUGCUAGUGCCACACACCUGACAACACUUGAGAGACUUUUUGGUGAGGCCUAUAAUGAAAAUUCCUCUUUGCUUGCACGUUAUUCUUGUAUACAAAAAAUGAAAUAACUUUGCCAGAGAGAAAAAUAGGGUGAGUUUGAAUUUUAUGUAAAAAAUGGUGAGGUGAAGACAUCCGGUCACAAAAAUAAAUAAACGCCGAAGACAACCAGUUAUUAUUACCAACAACAAAUGACUCCAAGAAGGUAACUAUGCUCCAAAACCUUCAGUGGAUCUUUUGGGUGAAAACCUUGUCCCUAUUAGGCAGGCAGCAACGGCGCUAUCUGCGUCGCUCCUCCUUGGAGGCAUUGUCUUUGUAGUCCCCUGCCAUGGUGUGCGUCGGGCUGCCUCCCCCUCUUCCUCGAUGCUACGUGUGGUUGUCGCCGCUUGUGGUCUAACAUCGUCUUCUGUCAUGCUAUGGAGAUUAUCAUUGUGCCUAUGAUCCGUCUGCACGUUUCAUACCUUCAACACAUGUUUGUCCUAUGUUGUGGUCGCUUCUUCGGUAGAUGCUUUGCCCCUUUGUUUGUCGCUAGUGCACUUCUUUGACAUGGAUGCUUUGGCACCGACGUCAAUGGUUCUGGCUGAGCGGAUACUUUGCCGUUGCAGCUUUUGGUGAUUUCUUCACUGUUGUUUCGGCUUUCCUAUAGCGAAGGGGAGGAGGAAUGAACUCGUAGCUCGAGGGGCCUCGCAAACAUCUACGAGUGUUUGGUUUUUCAGUUUAAUGGGUGGCAAGCCUGCUAGCAUUUGUGUCAAUUGGUUCAUGUGACGAGCUGACUCGAUCUUAUUGUUAGCAGGUUAUUGGAUGAUGUGGCCCUAUCCAUGGUUAUAUUUUUGGAUGCAUAAUUUCUCGAGCGCCUGGUUUUAGUUUAGAGGGUGUUUGUGACUGCUCCACAAACUCCAUCGUGGAGCAGCUCCACAAAAAACUAGAGUUUGUGGAGUACCUCUUUAGUUGCUCUCACAACUCCACCAUUUUUCCUCAAACUAAGUGCGUGGAGCUAAAACCGUUUGGCUAAAAACAUGGAACGGAGCUGAAAAACGUGGAGCAGAAUAGUCCCAAACACCCCCUUAAUGGGUGAGACACCCGCUAACAUUUGUAUCGAAUGUUCACGUGAUGAGCUGGUGAAAGCCCAAGUUUGGUUUUGGUAAUUAAUGACACCAAGUUGCUAAUGCCUUGUGUUUAAGUGAUUUGAGUUAGGCAUAGCAACACAGGUGAUGAAGGUGCAUGGUGGCAUGGAAAGGUGGCCACAUGAUCACAAAGGGAUGAAGCAUGAAGUAAAGAUCAUGGUGAUAGACGAGGAGCAAAGUUAUCAAGGCAAAGGUAUAAACAUAGGGUUUUACUUUUACCGAUCUAAGAUGAGUAGAGAAGUGAUUGACCGGGUUUAGGAUAAAUAGUCGGCUUUUGAGAACACUCACCGGACGCUUUUGAGAAAAUUAAGUGUAUAUUUUCUAUUGCGCCGGUGGGAAAUUUGGAGAAGUCGUGAAACACUCACCGGACGUAGUGCGCGGAGGCACCAGACGUUGGCUGAGCGUCCGGUGUGCUGUCAGUGCUUGGCCCGGUUAGGGUUGAGCACCGGACGCACUACAUCGGACGCAGGGUGUUCCCUGUUCAUGCGUCCGGUGUGGCCUGACUUAAGCUGAGGGUGUCUGACUGAGAGCACCGGACGCUCUGAGUGCGUCUGGUGGUGUGCGUCCGGUGUGCCUCUCUGCGCAUAAGUCCGGUGAGCACCGGAGCGUCCGGUGCUCCGAGUCCAGUGAGAUCUCUGAGUUUUACAAACUCUCUACGCACGAGUUCGGUGAGUACCGGAAGCGUCCGGUGCUCACUUUACCGCGUCCGGUGGUUCACAGGUAGCCGUUAGAGAUUGACUUAUGAGAUUCAAAGGUGGACACGUGGCUAUCUCUUGAGCACCGGACGCAGGGGGUCGAGCGGCUGGUGGUACCUUGGUAGCGUCCGAUGCCCCCAAUUUCAGCCAAGUGAAAGUGGCCAACGGCUCUUUUGUUGUGGGGGCUUAUAAAUAGAAGGUAGCCGACUUUGGGAGACUUACUCUUGCACAUUUGAUUACUUGAGGCAUACACUGAGCUAGAGAAUACUCCCUCCACUCAUCUCCUUGUUUGAUUGCUAAUCCUAGUGAGAUUGAGUGAGAUUCAAGUGCAUUGCUUUGAGAGUUGCAUCUAGUGGCACUUGAUCCUUGAGUUUGCUGUGGAUUUCUUGUUACUCUUGGGUGUUUCCCGACACUCUAGAUGACUUGGAGCAGCGGUCGUGUUGAGCUCGUGAUUGGAGAUUGUUUCGAGCCUCACCAAGUGAUUUGUGAGGGGUUCUUGAGCCUUCCUCGCGGGAGAUCGCAAUUGGCUACUCUAGUGGAUUGCUCGUGGCUUGGAGGAUCCCCAUCUUGUGAGUGGAUGUGCGGCACACGCUGAGGGUUUGGCUUUAGAUUGCCAAUUAGCUCGUGAUCCGUCAAGUGGGUGUAUCACCACAAUGAGGACUAGCUUGCUGGGAAGCAAGUGAACCUCGGUAAAAAAUCAUGUGUCAUAUCUUGCCGAGGAUUCUCUUUGGGAUUGUGAUUGUGUAUGAUUGAUUGGACAUAUAUCUACACUACAAUGUUGGUAUAACAAUCACUCUCCACUCCUUUACAUACUUGCUUGUCUUGCCAGUUGUUUAGCUUGUUUAGCUUAGCUCUAGUUUAGAGUAGAGUUGUUGUGUAGCCUUCUCUUGUUGUUGUGGUUUAGUGUUUAGCCUUGUACUAGUUUGUAUAGGUGGCUUGCAUAGCUUAGUUGAGCUAGUGCUAGAAUAGCUUCGCCAUUUGUUUAACUAAUCAACUUGUCUAGUUGAGUUUGUAGAGAAUUUUAAAUAGGCUAUUCACCCCCCUCUAGACAUUUGGACCUUUCAGCUGGUAUCGGAGCUGAGGCACCGUUUAUUUGAGGCUUUACAACCUUCGGUGUAGAAUAGCGCUACCGUAUAUAUAUAUAUACACACACAUGACAGCGCUAUUCUACACCCUAGGUGUAGAAUAAUAUUCUACACCACAAGUCAAAAUUGAGCAGAAAAAAUACUGAGUAGUACUGAACCGUGUUCAGUAUCAUGUAAUAGUACACUCAGGACCACGAAAUACUGAACAAUACUGAAACACGGAUACUGAACGAUACUGAAUUCUGCUCAGUAUAACACUUCGGUGUAGAAUAGUAUUCUACACCUAGGGUGUAGAAUAGUAUUCUACACCUAGGGUGUAGAAUAGCACUUGUAUAUAUACACACACACUCUCUGCAAACAACUAGGGAAGUUUGAUUGGGGUUGUUAAAGUUUAAUAGGUACUAUAGCAUUUUCAUUUUAUUUGAUAAUUAUUGUUAAAGUUUAACAGGUACAUCUGGGAAGAAGAUGAACAGCAGCAAUGGACUUGGGUAGUCGCGUAGACGCUCCCCAAAAAACCUAAUUGCCAAUUCCCCGUGCAAGGUCUCGAACGGCAAGGGCUCCGGAGGCACCUGCCCUCUCGCUCCUUCGUGUGCGUGGAGUUACGAGAUGGGAAUUCCAACUUUGCAAUGAAACUGUGACCUAAGUGUUCUCUCUUCUUGUACCAAAGAGAUGAGAGUCUCCUAUUUAUCCUUGUGGCUGGAGAGGAGAGGAGGGGAAGGGACUCCCUGUUAGCGGCUGAGGAGACGGGCAUCUGAAGGGUUUUCACAUGGACUUAAAACUCCCUCAAUUACUUAUCGAAACACCCACAGAUAAUGAGUUGAAACUCCCACAUAAUUGAGUUGAAACUCCUAUACCGUCAGCCUGCCACUCCAACUCUUGGACUUCCAAUUUGGUACAAUAUUUAUUGUCCAUAAUUGCACACCAUAGAGUUUAUUGAUUUAUUAAAUCUAAAUGGGUCUAGCCCAUACUAAAUCCAACAAUCCCCACCAAUCUCUAGGGUUUAUAAUGAUGAAGCAUCAGAACCAUAGUUCUUUGAUAUAUCAGUGUUUCGAUGGAGUCUGUUAAGUUGAACAUCCAUCUAGAACAAGAGUUUUACCCACUCACACCUGAACAAUGGACUAUGCCUUGAAUUGACAGUUUUGUGCGAGAUGAGAUCCACUCAAGCCCUUUGUUGAUACUUAGCUGCACAAGGCAUCCCCGCUGUUUGAAGCAUAUAAGUCACACUUAAGUGCCUUUCAUGAGUAUUUAGGGAUUAGCCAAGUCCCAUAGACUGUGACCAGCAGUCUGACUCAUAUAGGUGUUUUCCUCAAAAGAUGUUCUGUAGGCCAACAUCUCAUCUGUAUAAGACUCUUGGAAUACAUUAAGAUAAAUACCAACCUGCCUUACAGAAGGAAAGUUGUACAUCAGAGAUAGGUUCAAAAGGAAACUUUCUUCUCAAUUUACUCAUAGCUUGUUUCACCACUCUACUUCACGGGAUCUCCGAUCACAUAGAGCAGGUUACCACUACAGUAGAUUAACUUGUUGGUCUCAUACCCAUCUCUCUCGAUUCACUUUCUAUCACAUUACGUGACAGUCCCUUAGUGAAUUGAUCUGCCAGAUUAUUCGAUGUAUAGACAUAGUCCACCGUUAUAACUCCGGAGGUUUUCAACUUUUUGACAGAUUUUAAUCGUCUCUUAACGUGCCUUGUAGACUUCAUGUUAUUCCUGGAACCGUUGACUUUAGUAAUCAUAGUUUAGUUGUCACAGUUCAUGGAUAUAGCCGGUAUCGGUUUUUCAACUACCAGUAAAUCCAUCAGGAGUUCACGAAGCCACUCGGCCUCAGCCCCAGCAGUGUCUAACGCUGUGAGUUCUGCUUCCAUUAUAGACUUUGUUAAGAUAGUUUGCUUGCAAGACUUGCAGGAAACAGCACCACCUCCAAGCAGGAACACAUAUCCGCUCGUCGCAUAAAGCUCAUCAACAUCAAAGAUCCAGUUGGCAUCACAAUACUUCCAGCACUCUAGGGUUUCUCGUAUAGUGAAUACCAUAGGACAUAGUCCCUUUCAGGUAGCGCAACACUCUCUCAAGAGCACGCCAGUGAUCAUCGCCCGGUUUUGACACAAACCAACUCAGCUUGCUCACAGCAUAUGAAAUAUCAGGUCUCGUUGCACUCGCAAGAUACAUAAGCGAGCCAAUGAUCUAGGAGUAUGUUAAUUGAUCCCUUACUAUUCUUUGAUUUUUCCUCAAUAGCGCACUAGGGUCAUAAGGCGUGGGAGUAGGAUCACAGUCACUAAACCCAAAGUGACUUAAUACAUUUUCCACAUAAUGGGAUUGUAACAAAGCUACCCCACCAUCACCUUCUCUGAUAAGCUUGAUGUUAAGAAUGACAUCAGCUUCUCCCAAAUUUUUCAUAUCGAAAUUACUCGAUAGAAGUUUCUUUACUUCCUCAAUCAUAUGGAGAUUACAUCCGAAGAUCAAAAUAUCAUCAACAUAAAGGCAUAGCAUAACAGCCUCAACCCCACCAUAUCGAUAAUACACACAAGUGUCAGCUUCAUUCACAACAAAGCCAGCAGCUAUAAGUGUACUAUCAAACUUUUCAUGCCAUUGCUUAGGUGCUUGCUUUAGGCCAUAUAAUUACUUUAACAGCCUACACACCUUGCUUUCUUGACCAUCCGCAAUGAACCCUUCUGGCUGAUCCAUAUAGAUCUCCUCAUCUAACUCUCCAUUAAGGAAAGCCGUCUUAACAUCCAUCUAUUGAAUGAUAAGACCGUAUGAAGCUGCCACGACAAUCAAAGUGCGAAUUGUAGUCAAUCGAGCGACCGGUGAAUAGGUGUCAAAGAAAUCUUCCCCCUCUUUCUGGGUAUAUCCUUUGGCCACCAGCCUUGCCUUGUACCUCUCAAUUGUACCAUCAGGCCUAAGCUUUUUCUUGAAGAUCCAUUUGCAGCCUAUAGGUUGAUAGCCAUAGAGACGGUCAAUGACCUCCCAUGUUCCAUUGGACAUAAUAGAUUCCAUCUCACUCCUUACUGCCUCCUUCCAUAAGUCGGCAUCAAGAGAGGAAUAUGCCUCAACAAUAGUGGUUGGCGUGUCUUCCACAAGGUACACUAUAAAGUCAUCACCAAAGGAUUUUGCAAUCCUCUGUCUCUUGCUCUUUCGAGUGACUAUAGUGUCAUCCGCCUUACGGAUGUGCAUGUGAGUCUCCUCAGCAUGAUCUAUAGGAAUAGACAAUUCUUGAUCAUAGGGUAUUAUAGUCUCAUGACUUGUUUUACUAGGUGUAUUUUUCAUGGGAAACUCAUUCUCAAAAAAUGUAGCAUCUCUCGAUUCCAUGAUAGUAUCAACAUAAAUAUCAGGCACAUCAAAUUUUAUAAUUAAGAACCUAUAUCCAACGUUGUGGAAAGCAUAACCAAGAAAAACACAAUCAACUGUUUUAGGUCCUAAUUUACGCUUCUUGUUGAUUGGCAUAUUCACAUUUGCCAAACAACCCCAGGUGUGUAAAUAUGAAAGAUUUAUUCUCUUCUUUUCCCAUUUCUCGAAUGGAGUGAUCUCUUUGUUUUUAGUAGGAACUGUGUUUAGGACAUGACACGCGGUCAAAAUUGCCUCACCCCACCAUUCCUUGGAUAAUCCCGUUGUAUUUAACAUGGCAUUCACCAACUCUGUUAAAGUGUGGUUUUUCCUUUCAGCAAUUCCAUUGGAUUGUGGUGAGAAUGGCAAUAUCCUCUCAUGAAUAAUACCGUGUUCCACACAAAAUUCAUCGAAAUCAUUUGAGAAAUAUUCUCCACCUCUAUCAGACCUUAAAUGUUUUAUUUUCCUCUCUAGUUGGUUUUCAACUUUAGCUUUAUAGGCCUUAAAAUAAUGGAGCGCUUCAUCCUUUGUUUUUAAGAGAUACACAUAGCAAAAUCUAGUGGAGUCAUCUAUAAAUGUGAUAAAGUAUCUUUUGCCGCCUUUAGUCAAAAUACCAUUCAUUUCGCACAAAUCGGAAUGAAUAAGUUCUAGAGGUGCCUAGUUCCUCGUCUCAGCAGCCUUAUGAGGCUUGUGGGGUUGUUUUGAUCAACGCAUACAUGGCACUUAGAUUUAUUGACCAAGUUAAAUUUAGGAAUUAAAUUCAGAUUCGCUAACCGCAUAAGACAGCCAUAACUUGCAUGACAAAACCGUGAAUGCCAUAAAUCCGACUCAUCAGAAAUAUCAACAGAAUUCACUAGUUUAUUACACACAUCAUGUAGAGAUAAGCGGAACAAAUCUCCGCAAUCAUAUCCUUUACCAACAAAGGAUACAUGUUUCGACACAACACAUUUCUUCGAUUCAAGGACAACUCUAUAACCAUCUUGACAUAGCAUAGAAGCACUAACAAGAUUUUUCUUGAUAGAGGGCACAUGCUGCAUGCUCUUCAAUGGCACUGUCAUCCCUGAAGUAAACUACAGAAUAACCGUACCAACACCAAGAACAUGAGCAUGCGACCCAUUUCCCAUCAACAAGGCGCCAGACCUCCAGACUUGGUAAGUGGCAAACAAGGAAACAUCAGCACACAUAGUAUAUUUGCACCACUAUCCAUCUACCACUCAGGUGAAUUACAAACUGAAAGAACAUAUGGCAAAAAUUACCAUACCCAGAUGUUCCUACAGUCUCAGUGGUUACAACAUUAACUGAUUUCUUCCCUUGGAAGAACUUGCGAUCUGGGCACUCACUUGCCCAGUGUUCCUCACUGCCACGAACAAAGCAGCCUCCCUUCUUCUUGCUAUUGUUGGUAGUUUUCUUGAAUUGAGUGGACUGAUUGGGCUUAUGGUUAUUCUCUUUCUUUUUCUGGUUUUUCUUCUUGUUAAACUUGUGGAAUUUCUUCUACACCACAUUGGCAGUAGAAGGCUCAACACCUUUCCCAUUAUCUUUUGCUCUCGCCCUCUCCUCAACAUCAAGAGUACCAAUGAGUUCCUCAACAUUGAACUCUUGCCUCUUGUGUUUGAAAGAAUUAGCAAAUUCCUUCCAAGAAGGUGGUAACUUGGCGAUAAUACCGCCGGCCACAAACUUGUCAGGCAGUGGACAAGGGAAAAGUUCAAGUUCCUUAGCCAGUUGAAAGCCCUAGUUUGGUUUUGGAUAAUUGAUGAAAUCCUAGUACUAACCUCUAUACUAAGUGUGUGUAGACUUAAUGAGGUUGGUACAUGCCAAGUGAUGGAGCAAGUGAUGAUCAUGGUGAUGAUGGUGAUGACCACAAGAUGAUCAAGUGCUCAACUUGGAAAAGAAGAAAGAGAAAAACAAAACCCUAUGGAGAUCAAGGCAAAGGUAUUGCUUAGGGUUUUGGUUUUGGUGAUCAACACACCAUAGAGGGUGUGAUCACAUUUAGGAUAGAUAGCCGUACUAUAAAGAGGGGAAUUCUUUGGCUAAGCGGUUAUCGAGUGCCACUAGGUGUCAUUGUUCAUGUGCAUGCAUUUAGAACCUAGUGAGCUAACUUAACUCCUUCAAAGAAAAUGUUUGUGAAAAUGCUAACACACGUGCACAUGUUGGUUCACACGUUGUGGUGUUGGCACACUUUGAGAAGGAGGUGGAGUUUGAAGGGUAGAGAGAGGAUGGGUUCAUAUUCCGCGCUUUUCAAGAAAAUGAAGUGCAUAUUUUCUAUUGCGCCGGUGGGAAAUUUGGAGAAGUCGCGGGAGUGUUUCUCGCUGAGGGACACUCACCGGACGCUGGCUCAGAGGCACCGGACGCUGUGUCUGAGCGUCCGGUGUGCAGGCUGCCUGGCUCAGCUAGGGUUAGGCACCGGACGCUAGGCACCGGACGCAAGCUGGAGCGUCCGGUGGUCUGAGUCCGGUGUCCGCGCGUUUUGCAAAACUCUCUGGGUGUGAGUCCGGUGAGCACCGGACGCUCUGGGUGCGUCCGGUGGCUUGCGUCCGGUGACCCUGCGAGUUUGCGGAGCUCUCUGCGCAUGAGUCCGGUGUGCACCGGACGCGUCCGAUGCCAACCUGCUCAGCGUCCGGUGCUCUGCAGGUUACCGUUAGACUCUGACACGCGGCUGACGUUGGAGCACCGGACGCUGGUGUCGAGCGUCCGGUGCCCCUUUAAGAGCGUCCGGUGACCCCGUAUUUCGCCCAGUGAAAGAGCCAACGGCUCUAUUUGUUUGAGGGGCUAUAAAUACGUGUUUGACCGGCUUGGGGCUGACACUCUUGGCAUUCUUGACUACUAGACAUCCUUGUGAGCCUAAGCAAACACCUCCCACUCAUCUCCUUCAUAGAUUAAACGUCUUUGUGAGAUUGGGAGUGAUUCCAAGUGCAUUUGCUUGAGUGAUUGCAUCUAGUGGCACUUGGGGAUCGAUUUGGCUGUGGUUUUCUUGUUACUCUUGGUGGUUGCCGCCACCUAGACGGCUUGGAGCAGCGGAGGAGGAUUGGCACGAGUUGGUGAUUGUUCGUGGCCAUCUCCCGGUGAUUGUGAGAGGUUUGUGCCUACCUCGGCGGAGUGCCAAAGGCAACAUUAGUGGAUUGCUCGUGUCAUUGAGUUACCUCACUUGUGGGUAGGUUCUUGUGGUGUCCUAGUGAGGACGAGGUUCGUGCUACACCUCUUAGCCACCGAACCACCAAGUGUUGGUCGACACAACGGGGACGUAGCGUGUCGGCAAGCACGUGAACCUCGGGAGAAAAAUCGGUGUCUCAAUUGUGUUUGAUUGGCAUUCUCCCGGUGCUUGAUUGUUUAUAUUGAUGAUUGGUUCAUUCCCUACACGGCGGUAUAAAUAUCUCAUCUUAUCUUUACUUACCGCAAACUAGUGUAAUUAGUUUAGUUGCUUACUUUGACUUGUGUAGCUUAGUUCUCUAGUGUAACUUGUAGAGACUUAGUUCUUGUGUGCCUAGAGAUUAUAUCAACUAGAAUUGUUGGAUAGGUGGCUUGCAAACAUCCCUUUUAGAGCUAGAGCAAAAAGCUUCGCUUUGUUAUUUACUAAUCUCUUGCUCUAGUGUUUUUGUAGAUUUUUAAAUAGGCUAUUCACCCCCCUCUAGCCAUAUUAGGACCUUUCACCAGUGCCUGAAUCUCAUGAGCUUGUUCCACUACAGAACGGUUCUCAACCAUCUUGUAGUCAUACAACUGCUCUAUAAGAUACAGCUCAGUACCAGCGUCAGUAACUCCAAACUUAGCCGCAAGAGCAUCCCAUAAUUCUUUCCCGCUUGGAAGAAUUAUGUAGCUUUUCUGGAAUUUUAGAUCAAGUGCGCUAAUCACUGUACCUCGAAAGAGGUUGUCAUCAGCAUUAAACUUAGCCUCAUCCGCAGGAGGUAAAUUAUUAGGCUUGCCCACAACGGCAUGAUAACAUGACAUAGCAGUUAGCCACAAUUCCAUCUUAGCUUUCCAAAUCAAGAAGUUUUUACCAUCAAAAGAAUCAGGCUUUAGCACAGCAACAAAACCUCUGACAGAAAAUAGCCUAUAAUUAGGUUUUUGGAUUGUUAGAUUAUUAGGCAAUUUUUAUGUCAUUUUAAUUCCAUAAAUUAACAAUAUGAUGAUUACAUAUAUGAUAUUAUUGAUAAAUAUAAGCAUGACAUGAAUCAUCAUUACGACAUAUAAACAUGAUCCAUAAAGCAUAUCAAACAUCAAAACAUGGCAUGGUAUAUAACUCUCUGUAAUAGUACCAAACAUAAUAUAGCAAUCAAAACAAAUAAACAGAUGUACUGAAACAGGCAAGCAGAUACUAGCAAAACAAUAGAACUGUAGAACAGAGGCAUAUACGCAAAACUUAAACAUAAUAGGAACAGACAACAAAUAUCUUCCGAAACAACUAAACAGACUUAUGGAAAUAGGUAUGACACAACUACUCUGAAACAAAUAGAAACAGAGCGACGUAAAACUGAGGGAAGACGAAUAGAUCAUACCCUGAGACUCGCGCAUUCAGAUUUCCAGAACCUUGUCCUUCCUCGAUCGCCAUAGUGUAGAGACGAAGGUGAAGAUGACGAACCAAUCACCGGGAAGGAGAAGACGGUGACCGGCAACACCAAGAGACCUCCGGGAAGAAGAUGAAUAGCAGCAAUGGAGUUGGGUAGUCGCAUAGACGCUCCCCAAAAACCUAAUUGCCGAUCCCCCGUUGUAAGGUCUCGAACGGCAAGGGAUCCGGAGGCACCUGCUCUCUCGCUCCUCCGUGCGUGCGGAGUUACGAGAUGGUAAUUCUAACUUUGCAACGAAACUGUGAUCUGAGUGUUCUCUAUUCUUGUACCAAAGAGAUGAGAGUCUCCUGUUUAUCCUUGUGGCUUGAGAGGAGAGGAGGGGAAGGGACUCCCUGUUGGCGGUUGAGGAGACGGGCAUCUGAAGGGUUUUCACGCGGAGUUAAAACUCCCUCAAUUACUUAUCGAAACACCCGCAAAUAAUGAGUUGAAACUCCCACAUAAUUGAGUUGAAACUCCCAUACCGUUAGCCUACCACUUCAACUCUUGGACUUUCAAUUUGGUACAAUAUAUAUUAUCCAUAAUUACACACCAUAGAGUUUAUUGAUUUAUUAAAUCUAAAUGGGUCUAGCCCAUACUAAAUCCAACAUUUCAUGUGUGGCAGUAGUGUGCGUUGCCGCUGGACAUUCGCAUGGGCUUCUCCACUCUAUCACCAUGAAAUCUCUCUCUCUCUCUCUCUAUUUCUGAGAUUGUGCAAUGCCGAAGGGUGCUAUGUGUUGGGGCUUCCAAGCGUCGCCUUUCCGUCAGUUUUAGUCUCCUCCACUAGAUACCAUACAACUGUAGAGCGUCUACCGUCUUUCCAAAAAAAUUUAAGAUUCUUCGUCACAUCGAAUCUUUGGACGCAUGCAUGGAAUAUUAAAUAUACAUGAAAAUAAAAACUAAUUGCAUAGUUUACCUAUAAUUUGUGAGACGAAUCUUUUAAGCCUAGUUGAUCGAUAAUUGGACAAUAAUUAUCAAAUACAAAUAAAAGUACUAUAUUAGCCAAAACCAAAAAAAAUCACAAACUAAACUAGACCUAAGCAACAGCCAAAGCCACACAUUCCUCUAUGAUCUUUUUCUUCUUCUUUGGAGCGAGUCGAGGCUCCUCAUCCUCGAUCAGAAAAGUCGGCGACCUUUCGUCGCGUAACAGGCAUAUGCACGGUCUAUCUCCAUCGGAAUAAAGCGAUGGAUUCUGGUUUGCUUCUGUUGGCACGUAGGAGUAUAUAUCUUUAGAUUUCUCCAGAUAACCGGCCUUGCUUUACCGGCGCGGCGAAAGGAGGACAGCCCAUAUCCUGCCGGAUAUGCUCUUUCUGGCAUGAAAUAAGUAGGUGACGCCGCAGUUCCUCUCCUCACCAACAACCCCCAAAACGGCAUGGUAUGCAUGCCUACCUUUGGUAUCGAUCUCACCUAUCCUUGAAGCAAUGAAGCAUGUGUUUAUGGAAAUGUGGAGGUCCAUUGCAGGGCAACCCUCCGUUGGCAGGUGCGACCUACACCCUACCCUGCCAAAGGGGAUUUGCCCGGCGAUGCGCCUGCACACACACACACACAUUUGCCACCUGCAGGCAGCAGCAGCUCAAGGUAGAAGAAGGGGCAAAUUUUUAUAAUUUAAUCAUUUUUUAAUAAAUAUUUUAAUAAUAAUCCUUCCAAAAAAUAUUUUGCAUCAGAUAGCUCCACUGGCACGACCAAGUAAUAGUCACGAAACAUGCGUUGGCGUGGCAAGAUACGACACAUUUGACGGUAUUUUCGACGUGAAAAAGCUUGUCACACCACUUCCAUUGGCGUGACGGUAUUGUCUUAUCGCGCGCUCGGUGAGUGGCGUGACAAGAUCAAACUUUUAAAAAAUUAUAACUCUUUAAUACGACGUCGUAUGAAAAUAUGUUUUUAUAAAAAAAUUGUAGAAACCCAAUAUUUUCUGGAACAUGUGAUGCAUAUGAUGAUUAAUAUUAAAAUAUUUAUUAAAAAAGAUUAAAGUAUUAAAAAAAUCUAAGAAGACCACGGUGCUACACCCGGCCUGCUACAUUCGGCCUUUCUUCGGCCCAUCAGACAGAAGCCCAAAUAUUCGGCUUGGGUUGAACAAAGCGCAAAACCCAUCACAUGGUCCCAAAAGCCCAAAAAGGCCAAUGAAAAGCCUAUCCCAGCUCCCACCACCACCCCACCUAGGGUUUCUCCCUUUUAACCUCGCGCCGCCACCCCCUUCGUCUCUCGACGCCCAUCUCCUCCUCAAGCCGCCGCCGCCGCCGCCGAAGGAGAAGGAGGAGAAGAGGAUCCGGCCGUCUCAUCGCCCCAAUGGUACCGCCCCCAUUCCAUCCUCGUGCUCCCAUUCUCAUUUUCCCAUCUUCCUCUUCGUCUUCCUCUUGCUGCCUGUGGUAUGUGAGGCUAACUCGCUUGGCGUCCCGCAGGCGUCCGAGAAGAAGCAGUCGAACCCGAUGCGGGAGAUCAAGGUGCAGAAGCUCGUCCUCAACAUCUCCGUAGGGGAGAGCGGCGACCGCCUCACCCGCGCCGCCAAGGUGCUCGAGCAGCUCAGCGGCCAGACCCCUGUCUUCUCCAAGGGUAAGUGUGCUGAGGUCUUUCGGCUCCGUUUCAUUGCCUUUCGCUGACGGGGUGCGUCCUUUUGCUCGGUCUUGCAGCGAGGUACACGGUGCGGUCGUUCGGCAUCCGGCGUAACGAGAAGAUCGCCUGCUACGUCACUGUCAGGGGCGAGAAGGCUAUGCAGCUGCUUGAGAGCGGCCUCAAGGUCAAGGAGUACGAGCUGCUCAGGAGGAACUUCAGCGACACCGGGUGCUUCGGAUUCGGCAUCCAGGAGCACAUCGACCUUGGUAUCAAGUAUGGCUCCGUCUUACUUUACGAGAAUCUUUGCUACGAUUCAGGCCAUAUGUUGUGCCAGUGCAUACAUUCUUGCUUUUGCGAUGUCAACUGGUUCCGAGGUUAUGGGUUGCUGUGGUUGUUAGAAGCUUCAAAAUUUCGGUCCUCUAUUUCCAUGUGGUGAGGCUACCAGUGAUAAAUCCGAUGCUAGUAAAUCCUUGGCUUGUUUUCUACUAUCUUAGUCCAUUAGCUCCAAGCCCAGUAGUUGUUUUUGAACAUGACUGAUGCUUUAGUUCACUAUGAGCAUGUUUUUAAAAUUGAUUAAAACUUUGUUUUAGGUGUUUGUUGUUUAAGACUGAGGUCCAGAAAUCACAACUCAUUCUGCAGUUAUUGCACAGUUAAUUGCCAUACUAGUGGAUAAUAUUUUUCUUCUGUCAGUGCAAUGCUAGUUCAGUGGAAGUUUACAGUUUAGUCUGUGGCUCUGUGCAUUGUUGGUACAAUCCAGUUCUUGAAUUUUGUCGUCUGUGCAGAGUUUAUCUGGUUUUGCAUAUUUACAUAUAGUGUUUGUUCCUACUGUUGAGACUGAAAUGUGCUCCGUAUAUAUAUAAUUUAAAUUGCCUGUUUAUCCUGUUGUUUCCGUUUUCGUCUGUUGAGGUCAUGUUUAGUUCCCAACUCAAAAAGUUCACUAUCACAUCGAAUGUUUGGACGCAUGCAUGGAAUAUUAAAUAUAGAUAAAAAAAUAAACUAAUUACACAGUUUAGUUAGAAAUCACGAGACGAAUCUUUUAAGCCUAGAUUAGCCUUAAGUGCUACACUAACCUACAUGUGCUAAUGAUAGAUUAAUUAGGCUUAAUAAAUUUGUCUCGCAGUUUCCAGCCGAGUUAUGUAAUUAGUUUUUUUAUUAGUAUUCGAACACCUCUUCCGACUUCCUACGAACCACAUCUGAUGUGACACCCAAAAAAAUUUUUCCCUCUCCUUGUUACUAGUAUUUGACGCAUUUAAUGACCUGAAAUAUUAGCUGUGUUAGCUGUGCAUUGCUAACAUGAGUUAAGCUAUACUGCUAUACCUUGUCAAUUUUUAAUUAGCCACACACAAAUGCAAAUUUUAAAUCUGUUGGCAGAGGCGCAUAGCUUUCAACAUGUUCUCUUUUCAGUUUUAUGUAUUCUCUCCAGAGGCACUGAGGCAUGUCUUAUGUAUUGUGCAGGUAUGAUCCAUCAACAGGCAUCUAUGGAAUGGACUUCUAUGUCGUGCUCGAGCGUGCUGGCUACCGAGUUGCACGCCGCAGGAGGUGCAAGGCCCGUGUUGGGAUCCAGCACAGGGUGACCAAGGAGGACUCGAUGAAGUGGUUCCAGGUCAAGUACGAAGGUGUCAUCCUCAACAAGGCUCAGGCCAACACGGUGUAAACCUUAGUUUGUCUAAGCUCCAUGCAGACGCAAGAUGUUUUAGUCUACUAUAGCAGAGCUAUAAACUGCCGAAUGAAUUAUUUCAGUGCCCGUAUCAUACUCUGUGCUGUUGCUUAAAAACAUGCUAGUCUGAUCUCCUAGCGCAGCUUGUGAUCUGGCUCUUCUUUGGUUACAUUGCUUUAUCUGCCGC
rnacentral:lncRNA from 1 species